rnacentral:rRNA from 1 species
GACGAACGCUGGCGGCGUGCUUAACACAUGCAAGUCGAACGAUGAAGCCGGAGCUUGCUCUGGUGAAUUAGUGGCGAACGGGUGAGUAACACGUGAGUAACCUGCCCUUGACUCUGGGAUAACUGCGGGAAACUGUAGCUAAUACCGGAUACGACCCUCGGAGGCAUCUCCUGGGGGUGGAAAGAAUUUCGGUCAAGGAUGGACUCGCGGCCUAGCAGCUAGUUGGUGAGGUAAAGGCUCACCAAGGCGACGACGGGUAGCCUGCCUGAGAGGGUGACAGGCCACACUGGCACUGAGACACGGCCCAGACUCCUACGGGAGGCAGCAGUGGGGAAUAUUGCACAAUGGGCGCAAGCCUGAUGCAGCAACGCCGCGUGAGGGAUGACGGCCUUCGGGUUGUACACCUCUUUUAGCAGGGAAGAAGCGAAAGUGACGGUACCUGCAGAAAAAGCACCGGCUAACUACGUGCCAGCCGCCGCCGUAA